rnacentral:rRNA from 1 species
AACGAACGCUGGCGGCAUGCCUAACACAUGCAAGUCGAACGAGACCUUCGGGUCUAGUGGCGCCCGGGUGCGUAACGCGUGGGAACCUGCACUUAGGUUCGGCAUAACUCCCCGAAAGGGGUGCUAAUACCGGAUCAUGUCUUCGGACCAAAGAUUUAUCGACUUUGGGUGGGCCCGCGUUGGAUUAGCUAGUUGGUAGGGUAAAAGCCUACCAAGGCGCCUAUCCAUAGCUGGUCUGGGUGGAUGAUCAGCAACACUGGACUGAGACACGGCCCAGACUCCUACGGGAGGCAGCAGUGGGGAAUAUUGGACAAUGGGCGAAAGCCUGAUCCAGCAAUGCCGCGUGAGUGAUGAAGGCCUUAGGGUUGUAAAGCUCUUUUACCCGUGAUGAUAAUGACAGUACCGGGAGAAUAAGCUCCGGCUAACUCCGUG